AGAGUUUGAUCAUGGCUCAGAUUGAACGCUGGCGGCAUGCCUUACACAUGCAAGUCGAGCGGCAGCGCGGGGGCAACCCUGGCGGCGAGCGGCGAACGGGUGAGUAAUGCAUCGGAACGUGUCCUCUUGUGGGGGAUAACCAGUCGAAAGACUGGCUAAUACCGCAUGAGAUCGAGAGAUGAAAGCGGGGGACCGCAAGGCCUCGCGCGAGAGGAGCGGCCGAUGCCGGAUUAGCUAGUUGGUGGGGUAAUAGCCCACCAAGGCGACGAUCCGUAGCUGGUCUGAGAGGACGACCAGCCACACUGGGACUGAGACACGGCCCAGACUCCUACGGGAGGCAGCAGUGGGGAAUUUUGGACAAUGGGGGCAACCCUGAUCCAGCCAUGCCGCGUGUGUGAAGAAGGCCUUCGGGUUGUAAAGCACUUUCGGCCGGAACGAAAUCGCGUGGGCUAACACCCCGCGUGGAUGACGGUACCGGAAGAAGAAGCACCGGCUAACUACGUGCCAGCAGCCGCGGUAAUACGUAGGGUGCGAGCGUUAAUCGGAAUUACUGGGCGUAAAGUGUGCGCAGGUGGCCGCGCAAGUCGAGUGUGAAAGCCCCGGGCUUAACUUGGGAAUUGCGCUCGAAACUACGUGGCUAGAGUGUGGCAGAGGGAGGUGGAAUUCCACGUGUAGCGGUGAAAUGCGUAGAGAUGUGGAG
rnacentral:rRNA from 1 species